AUUGAACGCUGGCGGCAGGCUUAACACAUGCAAGUCGAGCGGGGUGAUGGUGCUUGCACUAUCACUUAGCGGCGGACGGGUGAGUAAUGCUUAGGAAUCUGCCUAUUAGUGGGGGACAACAUCUCGAAAGGGAUGCUAAUACCGCAUACGUCCUACGGGAGAAAGCAGGGGAUCACUUGUGACCUUGCGCUAAUAGAUGAGCCUAAGUCGGAUUAGCUAGUUGGUGGGGUAAAGGCCUACCAAGGCGACGAUCUGGAGCGGGUCUGAGAGGAUGAUCCGCCACACUGGGACUGGAACGAGGACCAGACUCCUGCGGGAGGCAGCAGUGGGGAAUAUUGGACAAUGGGGGGAACCCUGAUCCAGCCAUGCCGCGUGUGUGAAGAAGGCCUUAUGGUUGUAGAGCACUUUAAGCGAGGAGGAGGCUCUUUUGGUUAAUACCCAAGAUGAGUGGACGUUACUCGCAGAAUAAGCACCGGCUAACUCUGUGCCAGCCGCCGCAGUAA
rnacentral:rRNA from 1 species